AAUGAUUGAAUUUAAUAGCCGCAGUAUAUUGACUGUGCAAAGGUAGCAUAAUAAAUUGUCUUUUAAUUGAGGGCUGGAAUGAAUGAUAGGAUGUGAUGAAUACUGUCUUUGCGGUAGUUGAUUGAAAUUUACUUUUUGAUGAGAAGGUUAAAAUUGGAUUGGUAGACGAGAAGACCCUAUCAAGCUUUAUUUGAAUGGCAAUUUUGUUUUUUUUAUUGGUGGAUGGGUUGGAUUUCUAAUUUUGUUGGGGCAAUGUUUGAAUAUAUUGUAAUUUUUUAAUGUUAGUUAAGUUUUGAUCCAUCUUUGGUGAUUAAUGGAAUAAGUUACUGUAGGGAUAACAGCGUAAUCAGUUUGGAGAGUUCAUAUCGGUAAAUUGGAUUGCGACCUCGAUGUUGGUUUAAUGAAUCUUUAGGGUGAAGCGGUUUUAGAAGAG
rnacentral:rRNA from 1 species